rnacentral:rRNA from 1 species
UACGUAGGGUGCAAGCGUUGUCCGGAAUUAUUGGGCGUAAAGAGCUCGUAGGCGGUUUGUCGCGUCGAAUGUGAAAACCCGGGGCUCAACCCCGGGCCUGCAUUCGAUACGGGCAGACUAGAGUUCGGUAGGGGAGUCUGGAAUUCCUGGUGUAGCGGUGAAAUGCGCAGAUAUCAGGAGGAACACCGGUGGCGAAGGCGGCUAUCUGGACGACAACUGACGCUGAGGCGCGAAAGCACGGGGAUCAAACAGG